rnacentral:rRNA from 1 species
ACAAUGGGCGCAAGCCUGAUGCAGCCAUGCCGCGUGUAUGAAGAAGGCCUUCGGGUUGUAAAGUACUUUCAGCGAGGAGGAAGGCGUUAAGGUUAAUAACCUUAGCGAUUGACGUUACUCGCAGAAGAAGCACCGGCUAACUCCGUGCCAGCAGCCGCGGUAAUACGGAGAGUGCAAGCGUUAAUCGGAAUUACUGGGCGUAAAGCGCACGCAGGCGGUCUGUCAAGUCGGAUGUGAAAUCCCCGGGCUCAACCUGGGAACUGCAUUCGAAACUGACAGGCUAGAGUCUUGUAGAGGGGGGUAGAAUUCCAGGUGUAGCGGUGAAAUGCGUAGAGAUCUGGAGGAAUACCGGUGGCGAAGGCGGCCCCCUGGACAAAGACUGACGCUCAGGUGCGAAAGCGUGGGGAGCAAACAGGAUUAGAUACCCUGGUAGUCCACGCCGUAAACGAUGUCUAUUUGGAGGUUGUGUCCUUGAGACGUGGCUUCCGGAGCUAACGCGUUAAAUAGACCGCCUGGGGAGUACG